CUCUUCUUUCUUCAGCUCUGAUCUCUCUCUCUCUCUCUUCAUUCUCCUUUGUAAAAUCUUAUGUGUGAUUGUAAUUGGGACAGUCUCCCAAGUUAUUGUCCCAAUUAGUGGAAGGCUUUCUGCAGUUACUGCAUCUGUAAAUAAUGAGAGGUCAACGAUGGUGCCGAUGGGGUGACUGGAUCUAAAAGGGUUUACUUGACUAAGUUUUGUCGAGGAUUAUGGAGCUAUUUUAUUUCGAGCUGGAUAAAUACACGAUAUUGGUAAGAUCCAAUUUUGAGAUUCUUUUUUUCGCAUCUAAGGGGUUAUUAAAUCCUAACAAGUGCUAUUAUCAAGAACUGUUGGUAUCUAUCCAGAAUUGCUAUUAUCAAGAACUGUUGGUAUCUAUCCAGAAUUGGUAUUAUCAGUAUAUUUAUAGAGUUCUUGUGUAUUCUUUAAUCAAUAAAUAAAUAUAUGGGGAGUUCUUUGCAAAUAGUUUGAGAUUCUAAACAUUUUACAUGAGGAAGUAGGGCAUUACAAAAGUGAUGACAGGGAUCAGUUUACAAACUCUGGCAGCAAAGGUGGAAGAGGUGUAAGAGGUAACAGUUUUGUGAUAUGGUGAUCCUGCACGUCCAUAGUGUAUACACUCGUGAUCGUUACAACUUAUACAGGAAAACCAGCAAACAUGAAGAAGAAAUGCUUGAAUUUUCCCUAAAAAUGCAAGCAAGAGGAACUGACAUGCUUUCUUGAAUCGCAACGGAUGCCGCCUCUUCCUGCAAUUACCUAUCAAAUUUCACUUUAGAGAGAGAAACACAGAGAGACAGAGAGGUAGAGAGAGAACGCAUUAGGUAUGCCUCCGAAGAGAGAACAAUUGGGUUACCAUUCGAGGAAGUAAGCCAAGGGAGAAAGGGAGACUCUCGCGAAAAUGUUCUGUAUGUUACAAAGACAUGAGUGCUCAUGCCUUGAGAAAGUUCAACUUUAGUGAUAAGGUACAUCAAAGUACACAUUAUCUGAAUCAGGACCUAUGCAAGAACAGGCCCAUAUUCCUCCAUCUCUCUCACUAUCUCUACCUCUCUCUAUCUAUCUCUCUACUUUCUCAGUGAUGUUGAAACUUUGUUCUUUAAAUAAUGCAUCUUAUUAGAAGUUUGAGCAGGGAUGUCAUUUCGAGGCUGGUAUUUUUCCUGCAUUCAGUGAUAAUCACUUACACCAAGGUCCCUCUGGAUCAUGCAGUAAAAUACUCCCUCGGAGAAAGAGUUACUGAUGGAUCUCUUUUUUUAUAGAAGAUUUUUGGAGUUUUGAAUUUACUCAAGGGUUGUAGUUUGAAGAAGGUUGAAACAUUGAAUUAUAAGAGGGCUGUCAUUUGAGUCAUCAUACUGGCCACAAGUGGAGUGAGGUUGUUACGUUAUUAUUGUGGUUCCUUUCAGAGAAGGCUAAAUGAUGGACGAAUGUACUACAAGGACGAGAAUGUGAAAGCUGCUUUGUAUAAUGGGAGUGACGCAUUGGACCAGUUAAAGAUGCACAUGGGGUCUAUUGCGCAUUGUGACCCUAGCUAUUUGACGAUUAUAUAUCUAGAAAGUGAUAUUUUAGUAGAAGUAAACGAAGAUAUAGAUGUGACGUAUAUGUUGUUGGUGGCUUCCAAUGGUCAUGUAUGUAUUGCACAUUAACCAUUCGAAGUAAAAAACAGGGAACAUCAAACAAAUAUAGCGGGUGUAACUCCAUCAUGAGGACCAUCAACAAGGAUCAGCCAUCCCAUUCAACCAGUGCCCUUCCCCAUCAUCCAAAAUGUAGUACAUACAUGUGAUGCGGACUCCGAAAGGGCGAGACACAUCCGGCUUGAUCCCAAUGAUAUGCAUCUAUCAGAUUCUCCAUGCAGUUCAGUCUACUCACAUAUUCAUCUUUAUAUAUGACAAGAGUUCGAGGAUCUUAGGCUACUCCAUAAUCCUUUAGCAGAUUAUUAUAUAUAUAAAUUAUUUUUCAUGAA